UCGACCCUGUCGAAUAAAAUUCUAGAUAGAAUUAUGAUGAUGACAUUAUCUAUCUACAUGUCUUGACCAAGUCACGUGCCAGCAGUCGCGGUAAUACGUGGUAGACUAGUGUUAUUCAUCUUUAUUUGGUUUAAAGGGUACUUAGACGGAAAAUUAAGCCCCAAAAUGGUACUAAUUUUCUAGAGUUUUAUGUGAGAGGGGGUGUAUUGAAGAGUGUAGAGAUGAAAUUUUUUAAUACCUUCUGGAACAGUCAACGGCGAAGGCAACCCUUUAUGUAAAAACUGACGUUGAAGGACGAAGGCUUGGGGCACCAACAGGAUUAGAUACCCUAGCAGUCCUAGCAGAAAAUUAUGAAUGUCAUAGGUUAGAUUAUAAUUUUUGUCUAUAAAUGAAAGUGUAAGCAUUCCACCUCAAGAGUAAUGUGGCAACGCAGAAACUGAAAUCAUUAGACCGUUUCUGAAACCAGUAGUGAAGUAUGUUGUUUAAAUUGAUGAUCCACAAAAAACCUUACCACAAUUUGCAUAUUAUUUAUAAUACAAGAGUUGCACGGCUGUCUUCAGUUAAUGUCGUGAGAUCUUGGUUAGUUCCAUUAAUUAACGUAACCCUUACUUUAUUUUUUUUAUAAAGUAGUUCACCGCUAUAUUGGAUUAGAUAACAGGGAAUAAGACAAGUCAUCAUGACCUUAAUAUUGUGGGCU
rnacentral:rRNA from 1 species